UCCAUAGCGUUUGUCCUGACUAGGGUUUUCACGAAGAUUCCUGUUGAUAAACUAAGUUGCUCUUGUUAUCCGAAAGACGAAGGCAGAAACUACUAAGCGCCUAGUGGGCUUUAUUUCCUUUUUCUUUUUUCUGGUUGGGUCUUGUUUUUAUCAAUAUAUUGUGCACAUCAAUUUUGAUUAGUAAGAAUUGAUAAUGGAGUCUCUUAUUUUCGCUUACAUGUGCUCGCUGAUUCUGAUUUAUUUCUGAUAUAUAAAUCCAUUACCUGAUUUAAUAAUGAAUUGUUGGUUUAAGAAGAUAUGAUAUUUUGUCGGAUGAUAUCAAUGGGUAGCUAGCGGGGACCUCUUAUUGAUUGAUAUGAGUAUGACUAAUCAUAUUCCAGACUCACGACUCUCGAAUUUGGUUGAUAUCUUGUUGGAGAAGUUAGGUCUUAUGUUGUUCAGUUAUCUGAGCAACAAAGAUUCUUGGUAGUUCCAGGUAUAGAAUUAAUUUUUAGCUUUUUAACGAACACUUGUUUUAUCCUUAUGAUUUUGCAUUCAUAAGUUGAAUCUACUUGGGUUCUUAUGACGGCUCGAAUCCGGGGAUUGACCAUUUUCUGUAGCCAAUAUUUCGAAUCCGGGGUAGUUGUUGUUGUUGUUGGUAUACCAAUCAAGUGUGUUUACGACAUGUUGUAUUUUCUUUCCAACUAUAGGAUGAUAUGUGGUUUUCUUAAUGGUUGAUUUACAGGAAAGUCUUGAAUUAGUGGUUUAUUGUCCGAUCAUACAAUUUUGCAGGGUAUAGCAACCAAACAAUUCCGAACACUACUCUCUACUAGUAUGACUAGGCCUGCUGCGGGGUAAUAUUUUUAUUAAUUUGCCUAUCACUUACUUGUUUCAAUAGAUAAGACAAGUUUAGUGUUAUUUUUCGAUUUGCUAAGAUGCCAUAUUUCCCGCAGCAGCUCAAGGUAGACUUUGAUGUGUUGUUUAGCGUCUUGCGGUUCUAGCUUCACAUUUGUAAUGUUUCCUCUAAGUCGUUGCUUAACUUCUUCUUUUACUAUCACUAAUAGUAAUAGAUAAGUCAUUUAACAUCUUAAAUUCAGGACCUAU
rnacentral:lncRNA from 1 species